AUUUAUAUAGUUUAAAUAAAAACAUUAUAUUUUCAAUAUUAAAUUAAUAAGUCUAUUUAUAAAUU
rnacentral:tRNA from 1 species